rnacentral:sRNA from 1 species
AUUAAAUUUAAACGUUAAAUUGUAAAAUUAAAUUUCAUUUUUGGUCAAAUCGGUUAUUAGUUUGCCAACGCCGGUCCUAAUACGGCGAAACGCGUUGCAAAACGCGUUUCCGAAAAUUAUUGCUGGUUUUGUUUUAUUUUUGUUAUAAAUAAUAAAAAUUAUAACGAAUUAGCCUGUUAUAAUUACGAGGGGGAUUUGGCCAAAAAUGGCAAGUCGAAAUGCUGGAAUUACCGUUAUAGGCACCGCAAAUGCGAGGUAAUGUAAACGGAGCAAACCCUCUUUUUUAACCGCGAUUUUUUGUUAACCAAUUAAUUUUUCCAACCUGCGUUUUAUAACCAUCGUUUUUAUUAUCGUUCGCCAAAAUAAAGACGUUAAAAUAGGUUACAAAUUUUUUAUAGGCGAUCGCGUUUAUUUCGUGGUUAAUUUUCCGCAAAUUUAGUAAAAUUUCCGCGACGGUAUAAUCGGAAUUGCAACCGCGAAAGUUAAUAUUUUUUCGAUAAUUCGCGCAAAGAUUUUGGUUGUUUAUAUAGUUGGAAAAAACCUUAAACGCGUAUUUUAAGGGUAUUUGCGGAGGAAAGGUGCCCAUUGCGGUUUAAUGGUGGUAAUAAUCGAAUUUAAAUGGUUUUUUUUUAUUUUUUCGGACGUUUUGCAUAUUUUCCGGCGGUAUUUUGGUAGGGCGUUUCUUUUUAAAUUAUAAUACCCUUUUGCGGCGCAAAAAUAUAAAAUGCGCCGCAAUUAGUCCCAUAUUUUAGCAAUUUCGAAUAAAUUUUUUUUUUUUAUUUUAAAAAAAAAAUCAACUUUUUACCUGUGCCGUAUAUGGUUAAUAAAUCCCAAACCCAAUGCGUGUUUUGCAGGUUUUAUAAUUGCACGGCAACCAUAACGUUUGCGUGGUAAAAAUGUUAAAUGUUCCGCGAACCCAAAUGUUUGAAUUAGAUAUAUAUCCUUUAUUUUUUCACAUUUUCGAUACGUCGCACAAAUUUAAUAAUCCCCGAAAAUAUUUAAAUUAUUAUUUCGUAAACGCCUUUGUUAGGCCGUUUGCAGGUAUAAGGUUCGUUAAUAGGUAUUCCACCGCGAUUUUCCCGUUUUGCGCUAAUUGUCGUAAUUAUAUAUUUUAUAUAUCGAUAUACCGGAAUUUCGUUAAAAUCCUUUUAUUUUAUCCCAUUAUUAACCGAAUUGUUUAUAUAUUAUUACAAAAUACCCUAAUUGCGCCAGGAAUAUUUAAAUUAAAAUCGUUUAAUAAUUUUUCAAACGCAAUGGCUUUUUUUGCAGCUAAACCCAGGGCUAGCAAUUUAAAUUUUGUGGAUAAUGUGGAAACGGUUGUUUGUUUUAAGGAUUUCCAAUAUACGGGGCCACCCCCGAUUAUAAAUACAAAACCCUGUAAAUUGCGUUUUAUUUUAAUGCAAUUAACGAACGAUGCGUCGGACGUUACCACCAAAAAUCCGUAGGUUUCCCAAAAUUCGAAACAAAUUGUUAAAAAACGCGUCGAAAAAAGGUAACGUAUGGUUUAAUUUGCCGUAUUUAUAUAUUUUUGGAACGGGUUGGUUAAAUGCCUGGAUAAUUUUAAAACGGCGAAAGCAAUAUCGAGGCGGAUUGUUACGGCUAUAUAUAUUAGGCCUCCCAUUUUUUCCUGGUAUAUCCGGAUAAAAUAUUUGUUUUUUGGUUCGCCCUGGUUAAAUAAUAAUUUCGUGGCCGGGUAAGGUAUUGCGGGGAAAAAUCUAUCCAUUUUGUGCAAAUCGUGUUUUUGCGCCAGUUUUUUUAUAUAUAAAUUGUAUAUAAGGUAAAUGCACCGCUAUUUUCGGUUCUUAAUGGUUUUUAUAUUUAAAAACCAUUGCAAAUCUUUGGCCGGCGGGGAAUCGUAUUUUUUUAAAACAAAUGCAAGGAUUUCCUUUCCCCUAUUGUUAUUUUUUUUAUAAUAUAUUACCAGGAAAUCGUUAAUAUAAAAAACGAUAAUAAUUUUAUAAUUUUUGGAAUAAAACAAAUAUGGUUUUUUUGCGUUUGGUUUUAAACCAAAAUUGUGGAAAAAAUUGGAAAAUCGCUAAUAUUAUAGGAAAACCGACUCUUUUAUACCAUAUAAAAUUAUUAGCAGGAAUAUAAAUAUAUUUACCUCUUUAUACCCUGGGGGUAAUAAAUAAUAUAUUGGUUCCUGGUUUUAAACGAAUUUGGCAUUAAAAUAGGCUCCCUUUAUAUUUGUUUGCUUUACUUCCAUAUUUCGCUCCGCGGCUAUUAUUAAUACCGUGCGGAACGAUUUAGCGGCGAGGGUUAUUGCAUAUAUAUCUCCGAUUAUAACCUUUUGCAAAUCGCCUUUAACGCAAAUCCGUAUUUUGCAUUUAAUUACGUAACCGUCCUGGUUAAAUUUGUAUAAAAAAACCCAUUUAAAUAAUAUAGGCCUAAUUCCCUUCGGGCAAUCUGUGGAUCGAACCUUUUUAUAAACCUUUUUGGCGUCGAGGUUGCCUAUUUCGUCGCCUAUUGCGUGUAGGAAAUCGUUUUUUAAUGGAUAUUUAAAUAUGGUUUUGUAAUUUUUGGGUGGCGGCGGAAAGUUGUUCGAAUGCCUGAAACCCUCCGCGUUAUAUAUAUUAAAACCUGUUUUUUUCCCUUUUGGGACCAAUUGGUUGUUUUUAAAAGAAUUGGUGGCGGUUGCGAAAAUAUUAUAUGCUGUAAUUUGCAUAUUUUCGUAUUUUGGGUUAUAAUAUAUAAUUUCCUCAAAAUUUCGCCAAUUUUAUUUAGCAAUCGUUUUAUUUAUAUAUACAAAAAUUGCAAAUAUCCCCUUUAUUUUAUUAUUAUUCCGGUUAUUUCUCCUUAUUGGCGGUCCCCAUUAUUUGUUUGUAAAUCCUGCUGGUUUACCGCGGCGUUUUAUUGCUAUUUGCAAUGGGAUUUCUAUGUUUUUUUGCGUUUUCGGUGGAUAAUUUUAUUAUGGUGGUGAAAAUGGUUUUUCCACCCCUUUAACGGUAUAAUGGUCCAUAUUACGGUAUUAAUUUCCGGAAACAUCUUCUGUUAAAACUCCUUUUUCCGGGCCUUUAAAAGGUUUAGAUAU